GAUGAACGCUGGCGGCGUGCCUAAUACAUGCAAGUCGAGCGAACAGACGAGGAGCUUGCUCCUCUGACGUUAGCGGCGGACGGGUGAGUAACACGUGGAUAACCUACCUAUAAGACUGGGAUAACUUCGGGAAACCGGAGCUAAUACCGGAUAAUAUAUUGAACCGCAUGGUUCAAUAGUGAAAGACGGUUUUGCUGUCACUAAUAGCUGGAUCCGCGCCGCAUUAGCUAGUUGGUAAGGUAACGGCUUACCAAGGCAACGAUGCGUAGCCGACCUGAGAGGGUGAUCGGCCACACUGGAACUGAGACACGGUCCAGACUCCUACGGGAGGCAGCAGUCGGGAAUCUUGCGCAAUGGGCGAAAGCUUGACGGAGCAACGCCGCGUGAGUGAUGAAGGUCUUCGGAUCGUAAAGCUCUGUUAUUAGGAAAGAACAAAUGUGUAAGUAACUAUGCACGUCUUGACGGUACCUAAUCAGAAAGCCACGGCUAACUACGUG
rnacentral:rRNA from 1 species